UACGUAGGAGACGAGCGUUGUCCGGAGUUACUGGGCGUAAAGGGUGCGCAGGCGGCCUGGCGCGUCGCGAGUGAAAUCUCCUGGCUCAACUGGGAGGGUGGUCGCGAGACGGCUGGGCUUGAGGCUCGGUGAGGGGCGUGGAAUUCCGGGUGGAGCGGUGAAAUGCGUAGAGAUCCGGAGGAACACCGACGGCGUAGGCAGCGCCCUAGACGAGACGACGCUCAGGCACGAAAGCGCGGGGAGCGAACAGG
rnacentral:rRNA from 1 species